GACGAACGCUGGCGGCGUGCUUAACACAUGCAAGUCGAACGGAAAGGCCUCUUUCGGGGGGUACUCGAGUGGCGAACGGGUGAGUAACACGUGAAUAACCUGCCCUUGACUUUGGGAUAACUUCAGGAAACUGGGGCUACCUGAUAGGAGCUCCUGCUGCAUGGUGGGGGUUGGAAAGUUUCGGCGGUUGGGGAUGGACUCGCGGCUUAUCAGCUUGUUGGGGGGGUAGUGGCUUACCAAGGCUUUGACGGGUAGCCGGCCUGAGAGGGUGACCGGCCACAUUGGGACUGAGGUACGGCCCAGACUCCGACGGGAGGCAGCAGGGGGGAAGAUUGCACAAUGGGUGGAAGCCUGAUGCAGCAACGCCGUGUGCGGGAUGACGGCCUUCGGGUUGUAAACCGCUUUCGCUCAUGACGAAGCUUUGUGUGACGGUAGUGGGUAAAGAAGCACCGGCUAACUACGUG
rnacentral:rRNA from 1 species